rnacentral:snoRNA from 1 species
UUGAAUGAUGAAUCGCGGCACUGGGCUCCGACAUGUAUACAUGAGCAGACAACGCCUUCUGUGGCAGGCCUAGAAAACCUCGCCCACUGACU